AUCCAGCUGAUGAAUCACAAAUAGAAAGAAACGCGCGUCCUAGAU
rfam:Schistosoma rodhaini strain Burundi genome assembly, scaffold: SROB_scaffold0004022